GAGAAAAUGUUUAAACAAUAACCCAUUGGGCACCAGUGCUCUCCACUUGACGAGUAAAAUUGUCUGGUAUUACACAGAGUAAUGUGUUAAUACAACAACCGAUCAUCACAGGAAUCAGUUUAAUAGCACUACAAUUUAUCAACCAGAAAAAAUCUGUGUAACAUAAUUUUGGAACAUUCACUAGGUAGGCCCUCGGCUCUUGCUUUACACCUAGAACAUAUCCAACCUCCACCCCAAUAUAUGGAUACUGUUAUCCAACCUCCCCCCAUGUGUGCAGUUGGGUUCCUCCCCAACCCUCCUUCUGACACUUGAUUUUUAAUCAAGUAGAUGAAAAUUUGUCAGAAAGAUGGGUUGACAUCACUGCCCAAUUCCUCUGCAUUCUUAGAAACUCAAGACAAGUCAUCUUGUUUCGGUUUUUUUUUUGGGGGGGGGGGGCAAUUCAGACAAGCCUCUGUCAAGCAUCUUUUGAUGGUGGAAAUAGAG